GCUUGAUGUUCUCCCGGGACAUCCAGGUCUCCCUCACCCAGUUUGAACACAUUAAUUGGCAGAAGUUUCCCCUGUGAUCUUCCAGUACAACAUUCUUCCUGCAGCCACACCUGACCAGUGGGAGGACUGACUAAAUUCUUCAUCCUCUCCAUCCCAUGCCUUUACGUCUGCUGUGUCUCCCACGUGUUCGUGGAUCGUGCCUGAGGCUGGGACAGACAACUCACAACCAUGAAGAAAAGGCAAAGAGAAUCACAAAGAUGCCAGCCCAACGCUGGGAAGCUACUAGCCUACACCAAUGCUAACAACCAUCCAUUUAUGACUUCUUGUCAUGUGAGGAGAAUGAACCUUCUGUGUGAAUGUCACUUGACUAAGAACAAAUAACAACAAAAGAACUCACCUACGUUCCUUCUAACUAAAGGAUGUGUUUAUUAUUUCCCCUUUCUAACACCACACUCCACAGAACUACUUAUCUACAUUUAUUUAACAAGGCACAUAACUUACAGGUGCCGUAGGAAAGAAGGAAGGAAUGAAGACAACAAAGCAGGAAGGCAGGCAGGAAGAAAAACACCUAUAAAAUCAAGGGCAGUAGAAACCACAGAAGAAAGCCAGAAAACCAGCCAGAUAGAUGGCUGCUGAAACAAUUCAAGAGAGACAUGAUGAUCUACUAUAAUGGCGGUGGAGAACAGAUAGAAGUUACUGUGAAGAUGAAAGGAGAUGAUGUGUGUAACACUCACAGACUGGGACCCAGGAUGUAUGCAUCAGAUUUUAGGGAAACAUUGGUCUUCUUUCUCACCAUGGUUCAAGGUCUUGGGAUGCCUCCAAGACACGCUGACAAAAAGUCCCAUGAUUUUGUAGCUUAGUGUGUUGUGCCACAAAAAAGCCUUCAAAAUUAUUAAAAUAAGUUUUCCCAUAACAAAAUAAGGGAUCUACAACUAAAUAGAAGUAUUAAUGAUUAUUUAAUACUUCAGAAAGAAUGAAAGAGAGGAGAGAUUUUCUAUACUUGGGGUCUAUGAAAUUCCCUUCUAUCCAUUAAAAAAAUAAAGAACUUUUAAAACAAGGUUGAAUAUGUUCCUCUUCUUCAUAACCAAGGUUCUCUAAGACAGAAAUAUUAACAGCAGAAAAAAUAUUGUGUUGAGAUUAAAUUAAGAAAAAUAUACAUAUAUAUGUACUUUUUUCCCCAGUUCAAAGGACGAUAAAAAAUAAACUACAUAUAUAUACCCCACAUAGAUAUAUAAAUAGUUAGAUAAAUAUAGAGAUAUAGAUAAUCUACUUUCAUGAUUUAUAAUAAGGACACAGAAAAAGGCUGGGAUGGCAGUGGGGAAUGAGCAGAGUCUGAAUUUCUGUACUCCAGCAUAGCACUUACACUAUGAGAAACAGUAUUAGCUAGAGCUAUGUUAGUGCAAUUGUUAAAAGCUCUGUAUUUUACAUGAAAACUUGAGCCAUUGAAAAUAACAGAAUUAGCUAGAACUGGCAUCAAGCCUUAAUGCCAGAAUGUAACCAGUCCACAGAGGUAGGAAGAUGUUCUUAGGCAGGGACCCAAAAAGAGGACUGACACAUAAUAAAGGAUCAGGAUAAUACAAGGCUAAUAAAAAAGAGAAAAGGGACUGAUGCUUUGCUAUUUCUGAGUAAGGAAUUCUUCUAGAUUCUUAGUGAGAAGGAAUUAAGGUAAAGCCAAAGCGAUACGUAGUAUUUAUGCUUUGUUGUAUAUAUUAUGGUUUAUGCAGCUUUUAAAUAAACUAUAUGUAGUUCAUUCUGUCUACGAUGGUAGCAAUAAUAGCUAUUAUUUAUUGAUGUCUUAUUAUAUACUUGAUGUUCAGCGAGGUAUUACAUAUGUCCACAUCUCUUUGCUCACAUGACUCCAAGCUGGCAUAGGCCUCUUCCCUGCAUCCAUCCUUCCAAGAGCAGAAAGCGUAUACCUGCUGGUGUAUGCUCCUUCAUUUCAAGGAGUUGCAAAGGAGUCUUAUAUAUAAAAGUGUGGAUGGAGCUUGGACAUGUGGGUGGAGGUGUCCAUUGGCAUAUGAACUGAGGCCCUUUGUAGUAUGGAUGGGAAGAGACAGAAGGUGGGCUGGGGGCUGGUUCUCCUACACUGCCACAGUCCAUCAUUAAACUUUGAAGAGUCCAAUAAUUCUAAACUAGAACCAUACCAUCUGGGUUUUAAUGAAAUUUGUCAAAGGUGGUAAGGGAUAAAAAAGACUUUAUUUAACAGUUAGCUUGAUUUUUAUAACCAUGAAGUAUUUAGCCAUAGGACACACGGUCCUCUAUUUGUACCCUUUUUCGGGGACUAUAAAUUCAGAGGUAGGUUUAGCACCUAGCACAGUGUCUG
rnacentral:lncRNA from 1 species